AAACUAACAAGGAUUCCCCUAGUAACUGCGAGUGAAGCGGGAAAAGCUCAAAUUUAAAAUCUGGCGCAAGCCCGAGUUGUAAUCUGGAGAAGCAUUUUCUGUGUCGGACCGUGUACAAGUCUCUUGGAACAGAGCGUCAUAGAGGGUGAGAAUCCCGUCCAUGACACGGACUACCGAUGCUUUGUGAUAUGCUCUCGAAGAGUCGAGUUGUUUGGGAAUGCAGCUCAAAAUGGGUGGUAAAUUCCAUCUAAAGCUAAAUAUUGGCGAGAGACCGAUAGCGAACAAGUACCGUGAGGGAAAGAUGAAAAGCACUUUGGAAAGAGAGUUAAACAGUACGUGAAAUUGUUGAAAGGGAAACGCUUGAAGUCAGUCGCGUUGUCUGGAACUCAGCCUUGCUUGCAUGGUGUACUUUCCAGUUAACGGGUCAACAUCAAUUUUGGUUGGUGGAUAAAGGUAGAGGGAAUGUGGCAUCUUCGGAUGUGUUAUAGCCCUUUGCUGCAUACACUGACUGGGAUUGAGGUCUGCAGCACGCCGUCAUGGCCGGGGGUUCGCCCUACGUAACGUGCUUAGGAUGUUGGCAUAAUGGCUUUAAUCGACCCGUC
rnacentral:rRNA from 1 species